rnacentral:rRNA from 1 species
UAGCUAGUUGGUGAGGUAAAGGCUUACCAAGGCGACGAUCUGUAGCGGGUCUGAGAGGAUGAUCCGCCACACUGGAACUGAGACACGGUCCAGACUCCUACGGGAGGCAGCAGUGGGGAAUUUUGGACAAUGUGGGCAACCCUGAUCCAGCCAUGCCGCGUGAGUGAAGAAGGCCUUCGGGUUGUAAAGCUCUUUCGGCCGGGAAGAAAUCGCAUGGGCCAAUACCCUGUGUGGAUGACGGUACCGGAAUAAGAAGCACCGGCUAACUACGUGCCGGCAGCCGCGGUAAUACGUAGGGUGCGAGCGUUAAUCGGAAUUACUGGGCGUAAAGCGUGCGCAGGCGGUUUUGUAAGACAGGCGUGAAAUCCCCGGGCUUAACCUGGGAACUGCGUUUGUGACUGCAAGGCUAGAGUACGGCAGAGGGGGGUGGAAUUCCACGUGUAGCAGUGAAAUGCGUAGAGAUGUGGAGGAACACCAAUGGCGAAGGCAGCCCCCUGGGUCGAUACUGACGCUCAUGCACGAAAGCGUGGGUAGCAAACAGGAUUAGAUACCCUGGUAGUCCACGCCCUAAACUAUGUCAACUAGGUGUUGGGUGGGUAAAACCAUUUAGUACCGUAGCUAACGCGUGAAGUUGACCGCCUGGGGAGUACGGCCGCAAGGUUAAAACUCAAAGGAAUUGACGGGGACCCGCACAAGCGGUGGAUGAUGUGGAUUAAUUCGAUGCAACGCGAAAAACCUUACCUACCCUUGACAUGCCAGGAACUUGCCAGAGAUGGCUUGGUGCCCGAAAGGGAGCCUGGACACAGGUGCUGCAUGGCUGUCGUCAGCUCGUGUCGUGAGAUGUUGGGUUAAGUCCCGCAACGAGCGCAACCCUUGUCGUUAAUUGCCAUCAUUUAGUUGGGCACUUUAACGAGACUGCCGGUGACAAACCGGAGGAAGGUGGGGAUGACGUCAAGUCCUCAUGGCCCUUAUGGGUAGGGCUUCACACGUCAUACAAUGGUCGGUACAAAGGGUUGCCAAGCCGCGAGGCGGAGCCAAUCCCAGAAAGCCGAUCGUAGUCCGGAUUGCAGGCUGCAACUCGCCUGCAUGAAGUCGGAAUCGCUAGUAAUCGUGGAUCAGCAUGUCACGGUGAAUACGUUCCCGGGUCUUGUACACACCGCCCGUCACACCAUGGGAGCGGGUUCCGCCAGAAGUAGGUAGCCUAACCGCAAGGGGGGCGCUUACCACGGCGGGGUUCGUGACUGGGGUGAAGUCGUAACAAGGUAGCCGUAGGGGAUCCUGCGGCUG